GAUGAAGAACGUAGCGAAAUGCGAUAAGCAAUGUGAAUUGCAGAAUUCAGUGAAUCAUCGAAUCUUUGAACGCACAUUGCGCCCGCCAGCAUUCUGGCGGGCAUGCCUGUUCGAGCGUCAUUUCAACCCUCGAGCCCCCCCGGGGGCCUCGGUGUUGGGGGACGGCACACCAGCCGCCCCCGAAAUGCAGUGGCGACCCCGCCGCAGCCUCCCCUGCGUAGUAGCACACACCUCGCACCGGAGCGCGGAGGCGGUCACGCCGUAAAACGCCCAACUUUCUUAGAGUUGACCUCGGAUCAGGUAGGAAUACCCGCUGAACUUAAGCAUAUCAAUAAGCGGAGGA
rnacentral:misc_RNA from 1 species